rnacentral:rRNA from 1 species
UUAGUGGCGGACGGGUGAGUAACGCGUGGGUAACCUGCCUUGUACUGGGGGACAACAGUUGGAAACGACUGCUAAUACCGCAUAAGCGCACAGCUUCGCAUGAAGCAGUGCGAAAAACUCCGGUGGUAUGGGAUGGGCCCGCGUCUGAUUAGGCAGUUGGCGGGGUAACGGCCCACCAAACCGACGAUCAGUAGCCGGCCUGAGAGGGCGACCGGCCACAUUGGGACUGAGACACGGCCCAA